GUUCUUAGGAAAUGUUAAUGUUUCUCAAUACCACUCAGAAUACAGAUUAACAUCGAAGUUUUUGUUCAUCUGUCAGACCUUUGGAGGGUGUAUGCAUGACAUCCACCUCUCUGUUCACUCACAUGAGAACCGAGUUGGAGGACUCCGAGAACUCUGUCACUGGGGUAACUUUCUGUAGCGGGUCAGCUUAACACGUCGUUUUUGUGGGGGUAAUGCUUGUUCCUAUAGGCCUUUGAAAACUGUACCACUCACUCUUCUCUUUGGUCCUUUUUAAGAGCCCUGCAUACUCCUAUGCUAAUAAUUUGUUCAAAGAUGGCAGGAUGACUGCACCUUGCUUGACCCAUCACCACCUGUUAGAUCCACGCUUUGAUCGUGGCCGAUACCGCUGCGAUUGGCCCAUGCCUGCUCAUCUCCCUUCCUCGCCUCCAUCGAUCGAGCGAGCACCACCACGUUCGCUCCUGCCGGAAGAGCUUUCCACCUGGAUUUACUGCGAUCUCAGGAUCAGGAAAAAAGUCAGGCAGGUUGGACUCAAGGACAAAUUGCCCUGUUCAAGUAAUUUCAGGAGAGAGAACAUAUCGGUCCCCUGGCUGUUCUCAGAGUAACAUUAAGUUUGCAUAAUUUUCCUUAUGAAAGAGACAUUUAGCAGUUACAUAAACUUUCAUAAAAAAUCUACUCAGGAUCCAAAAAGAAAUGGAGAUAAUGGAACCAUUUAAAUUACCAAUUACCAUCUGUCUUAUCUUUCUAAGUGCAAUGGUUAACACUGUACCAGCUAACUGAAAUUGGAGAAAAGAGAUUCUAUUAAAAGAAACACAUCAGCUCAUGGUCUUCCAGAACCCUUUUUCAUAAUCAUUUUUUGCCAUCAUUUUCCUGUCCAUUUUGCCAUAAUGGCAAUCAUGUCUUUCUCCACCUGAUGAGAAUAUACAUCCAUAUCUUUCAUGUCUUUUCUUCACCAAAUUAUCUUUCCAAUCAACAAUUAUACCUUGAUGUUACUCUACUGUUCUAAGCCCUCCCACAAGCAAAGAGGUCAAGUCUCUACAUUCAUGAUCCACACUUCCAAACCCUCUGUGCUUAUGAAUAGAAAUACAAAGACAAGCCAUCUUAUGCUCACUUCUAAAGCUCUUAUCUCCUAGCACACAAAGAAUGAUGCAAGAACGAUGCACCAUGGACCUCAUAUGUUGUCUUAGCUCCUAUUAUGGUAUUUUAAGCUAUCUAACAAACUCAAUGCGGAGUGUCUUGCUAGUAGUAUGGAGCUAUAAAAUUUGGUAUAACAACCAACAAUUAAUACAAUUGACAAGAUUAACUGAUGUAGGAUGUGUAUAACAAAGGUCAAGUUAAGUCAUGCCGCAUUCAGGCAACAUGUUCUAUAUGUUUUUAUAUACAUUACUACCUAUUUAUGAUGAUACAUAAGUUUGAAAUUUAAUUGAAGUCAAAUUGGUAGCCAUAAAGUUUGUGAGUCGAUAGAGUUUUGUUCAGUAGGAAAAAUGAAAAAAACUAUGGUCUCUGUUCUCCACUUAUUCUCUCAUUUUUAAUUCAAUGUAUUGACAAAUAACCACUGUUUGACAUUUGCAUAUGAUUAAAUUCAGUUAGAAUCUGGAUUUUUUUUUUUUCACCUACUGAGGUUUUCUCAUACCAGCACCUACUACCUCUUGCUGUAAUAUCAUAACCGCGGCCUCCCUGCACCUGCCGUUAUAUCACAACAGCAGUUUCUCAGUCAGUUUCUCGUAAUUUAUCAUUGUUCUCCAUGGAAUUCUUAAUUAAAUAAAAAAGAACUGGUUUUGCAUUUCUCUCAUAUUCUGAUAUAGAUUACUUCUUAGCUUCCGUGUAAAAAUUAUGCAUACUUUAACGAUAAGAAACAUAUGUCUAAACAAGAUAAAAGCAAACAUGUAAACAAACUUUCACUAAAUAAGGAAGGUUGCAUAUUAUUGAAUCCAUACAAGUAAUAUACAAGGAUAAACGGGUUUCAUUAUUCUUUUAAGUUGAAAUGAAGUGGCUAUAAAAAGUGAUACUGAAUUACAGGUAUUGACCGUUUUGCUUGAUGAAGAAUUUUCUUUUCUUGUUGCAAAAUGCAGUAACAAUCCCUCUCUUAUUCUGUUACUGUUGUUUCUAUCCGCACCCAAUCAUUCCCAUUAUUCUAAAGGCCAUGAGAAAUCAACCGCUUCCAUCACAAGCAUUCCAAAAGCCAUAAAUCAACACUUAGGUUUCUAUAAUAAAGUCCUCCACUGCAACUUUCCAUCAGCACUUGUUUCUUCCAAGUCAUUCAAAUAAAGCAUUCUAACUUUAAAUGCUAUAUCUGCUAGUUCCAUUCAUAUUAUGUUCAUGUUAAUCUCAAGAGCCAGUUUAUCCUUUAUUGAAGCAUUCAACAUUAGCCGAGUUAUGAAUCUUAAGAAACAUAGAUAUGACUACUCUUUGGCCUACUAAACAAACACCGACAGAGAAAUUUCGCUAUUAGAUUGUGUCAUUGAAGUCUAAUUGCUUAUCACAUUUAAAGAAAAAAAA